UCUUGACGCUAUUGAGAUGCUGUUCGUGUUUUAGAAAAGCAAUGGUCCGCUGAUGUAGAAGAUCCCGAUGAUUUCGUUGCUGAAUUUAGAAUGUGGAAAAGGAACUGGUUAAAUCAAACAAAGAGAUCCAAAACUUUUUUAGACGCGUUGAAUUGUUGCGAUGCAAAAAUUUUCAAAACAGUGCAUCGUUUAUUAAAGAUUGGAGCAACAAUCCCUAUAUCUGUCGCUUCAAGUGAACGCUCGUUUUCCUCACUUCGCAGGCUUAAAACAUAUUUAAGAAAUAAAACUGGAGAAGCACGCCUGAACGGAAUGGCUCUCUUGAAUAUCCAUAGAGAUAUAGACGUGACGGAGGAAGAGAUUUUAAAUGUUAUGGCCCAAAAUAAAAGAAGAUUAGACUUCAAUUUGUGAAUAAAAUAAUGAAA